rnacentral:misc_RNA from 1 species
AACCAUUCUCACCUGCGGCUAGACCUGCGGAAGGAUCAUUACACAAAUUAAAAUAUGAAGGCUUCGGCUGGAUUAUUUUUAUCACCCUUGUCUUUUGCGCACUUGUUGUUUCCUGGGCGGGUUCGCCCGCCACCAGGACCACACCAUAAACCUUUUUUUAUGCAGUUGCAAUCAGCGUCAGUAUAACAAAUGUAAAUCAUUUACAACUUUCAACAACGGAUCUCAGAUCGGAAGAGCACA